AUUGAACGCUGGCGGAAUGCUUUACACAUGCAAGUCGAGCGGCAGCGCGGGGGCAACCCUGGCGGCGAGCGGCGAACGGGUGAGUAAUACAUCGGAACGUGUCCUUAAGUGGGGGAUAGCUCGGCGAAAGCCGGAUUAAUACCGCAUAAGCUCUGAGGAGGAAAGCGGGGGCUCCGUAAGGACCUCGCGCUGUUGGAGCGGCCGAUGUCGGAUUAGCUAGUUGGUGGGGUAAAGCCCACCAAGGCGACGAAUCCGUAGCUGGUCUGAGAGGAUGAUCAGCCACACUGGAACUGAGACACGGUCCAGACUCCUACGGGAGGCAGCAGUGGGGAAUUUUGGACAAAUGGGGGCAACCCUGAUCCAGCCAUUCCGCGUGCGGGAAGAAGGCCU
rnacentral:rRNA from 1 species